rnacentral:rRNA from 1 species
AUUGAACGCUGGCGGCAUGCCUUACACAUGCAAGUCGAACGGCAGCACGGGUGCUUGCACCUGGUGGCGAGUGGCGAACGGGUGAGUAAUACAUCGGAACGUACCUUAUCGUGGGGGAUAACGCAGCGAAAGCUGUGCUAAUACCGCAUACGCCCUGAGGGGGAAAGCGGGGGAUCGCAAGACCUCGCGCGAUUAGAGCGGCCGAUGCCUGAUUAGCUAGUUGGUGGGGUAAAAGCCCACCAAGGCGACGAUCAGUAGCUGGUCUGAGAGGACGGUGAGCCACACUGGGACUGAGACACGGCCCAGACUCCUGCGGGAGGCAGCAGUGGGGAAUUUGGGACAAUGGGGGCAACCCUGAUCCAGCAAUGCCGCGUGAGUGAAGAAGGCCUUCGGGUUGUAAAGCUCUUUUGUCAGGGAAGAAACACCGGCUCUAACACAGUCCGGGAAUGACGGUACCUGAAGAAUAAGCACCGGCUAACUACGUGCCAGCCGCCGCCGUAA